GACGAACGCUGGCGGCGUGCUUAACACAUGCAAGUCGAACGGAAAGGCCUGCUUUCCCUUGUGGAUUGCGGGUGCUCGAGUGGCGAACGGGUGAGUAACACGUGAGUGAUCUGCCCCCAACUUGGGUAUAAGCCUGGGAAACUGGGUCUAAUUCCCGAUAGGACUGCAGGGUGGUGCCUGUGGUGGAAAACGAUUUUCUAGUGGUUGGGGAUGAGCUCGCGGCCUAUCAGCUUGUUGGUGGGGUAAUGGCCUACCAAGGCGGCGACGGGUAGCCGGCCUGAGAGGGUGGACGGCCACAUUGGGACUGGGAUACGGCCCAGACUCCUACGGGAGGCGGCAGUGGGGAAUAUUGCACAAUGGGCGGAAGCCUGAUGCAGCGACGCCGCGUGGGGGAUGACGGCCUUCGGGUUGUAAACUCCUUUCGACCGCGAGGAAGCCACCUGGUUGGAAGGGUGGUGACGGUAGUGGUAGAAGAAGCACCGGCUAACUACGUG
rnacentral:rRNA from 1 species